UGUGGGCCUUCUGAGCAGCUUCCUCAACCCUUCUGAGCCUGAGUUUCUGACCACCUAGAGUGGCAGCUCUUAAAACACUUUCUAAGAUUAUACAGAUAAUUAAAUGGAGUGUAUAAAGCAUGUUUACAAUUCCUUUCUACUUCCAAAGAAGACUGCUGAGGGGCACAUUGGAAAAUACUAAGGAGGAAAUGCUCAUGGGGUCACAGACAACAAGAAAGAAAAUGGUGGGACUUCCAGAGCCAGAAAUCGCUUCUGGACUUAAGGGUGCUCAUUUACCUUCUGUGGCCGAGAAUCACGUGGGGAAUGGCUGCUCCUCGCAAGCCACCAUAUACAGUAGGCGUCUUGAUUUCAGGUCCUGA
rnacentral:lncRNA from 1 species